CCUACAGUUCCUGGUACACCCCACUUGCUCUGGAGCCUGCAGACAGCAUCCUGGAAAAAUGGGCCAAAGCCAGCGGAGGGUAAAAAUUCUUACCAAAGUCAGCUUUCCCGGAUCUCUGCCUGCAGUGCCCGGUUGAGAGAGGAAGGGCCCUGGCCAGAGAAGUAAGAUGGGGAGUGGAAAAAGGUUUUCACCCUCCCAUGCAGAGGCUUUUUCCAGAAAGUGACCUGCAUGCUUUUCUCCCUGAAGAUAGAACGCCAGCUUCAAGGCGGAUGACACGGCACAAAGCUACUGGGAAAGUGGAAGAUGGAUGACUGAGGUUGGGCAGCCCAUGCCCUGCUCAGUGCCGGCCCGGCCGUCUGCUGGCAGUGUGACCUUGGGUGAGUGCCCUGGGCUCUCUGAGCCUACUGCUUCUUCCAUUACAUGGGGCCAUCCCUUCCUCGUUGGGCUAUUAAAAGGUCUAAGAAAAGGUCAAGUGUCUUUCAAAGAACAGGGCCUGGAUUCCGUGCUCUCUGGGUUGUAACCCGUGACACCAUGGCCCUCGCUCAAUUAACGAGAACCCUCCUCCUGACCCUUUUCCCUCCAGAGGUGGGAAUGUGCAGGACCAGCUCCCCGUUCCCCUACCCUCCAUCUUCUAAAGAUUCUAGAACUCUCUAGAUGUCCCUCUUCUAAACUUUAUUAAGCACCUGCUGCAUGCCAGGGGUUUACGUGGGGGGUGGGCGGACAACUGCGUCUGGCCUUCUGCUUGCCCCCGUCCUCAUGGCUGACACUUUGCCCUCUGCUCUAGAAUCUGGACCCCGGGACUGGGUGUAGAGAGGGCUCGAGGGGGCCCCCUGCGGGUGGGCAGGUUUCCCAGCCCCCCAGCCUCCCGGUCUCUCCAGCAGACGGUCGGCCGCAGCCACCCAACGGACGAGUUCGUGGAUUCCACCAGCCUUAUGUUUUGGUUGAACAUUCAAGGGACAAGCCUGCCACCCAAAGAAAGAACGACUUGGAGCGCCGUCUCCUUGGGGCCUGAGCGCCUCGUGCCCACGGCACGUGUCUGUGGAGACCGGCCCUUCAGGAAGGAGGGCUUUUCAAACACCCCCCGGAAUGUUCCGUUCCAGAUUCAGUAGCGACCCCAAAGAGGGAAGCUCCCCAACUGGGCUUGUGAUGAAGGAUCUGGGGCCAUCAGCCCGCCUCAAGGAACCUCACGCCUCAGGGGAGACCCCUGCGGAGGGCAGAGGAAGCUAGGGAGACCCCGGGGGCAGCCCGGCUCACACCACGGAGGCCUCAGCUGAGCAAGUGAGAAACAGCCAGGACAAGGACAGUGGGCAGACUGGAGGCCCCGCCCAGAGGUGGGUCCAGCGGCCAGGCUGUCUCCUAGAUGAUAGGUAUUGAGGAAGGUGGAGAAUUAUCCAGACCAGCUGUGGUCUUUCUUGUCCCCAGAAGCAUUCUGAAGCAUUGGCAAACUGCUCCUUCUGGUAUCUGGAGCCAGCACCCUCUUCUCUGAGCCCCCCGGUGUCUCGUGCUGGUUGUUCCGUCCUGGCCAAGAAUCUUGACCUUGCUGCGGAGCUGGGCUUGUGGUGGAAGGUGAAGGACUUUGAAAUCUUGGCAGCCUGGUGCCGGCUUAAGGAAAAUCUCAAACUGGGAAGAAAAGAGAAGGGAGAAAGAGUCCACCUCAGCCCCUGGAUCUCUGGGUCCCACAGAAGCGCAGAUCUCAUCAACUUAGGGGUCACAGAUCUGGGCAGAGCCCCUGUGCCCUCUCUAGGGUGGUCGUCAUUGGCAGGUGAGUUUUACCAGCGUCUUGCUUUCCAAUCUCUGUGCUUUACCUCUUUCUCUGGUCUUCCUGAGUGGGACAGGAUCCUAAUACAACGGGCAAUGGAAGCACAGACAGAGAGUGUCUUUAUCUUGUCACCGACUUUAAAGGGAAUGUUCAGAUUUUUCACCACCGUGCGUGAUGUUCAAGGCCGUACCCCAAACUCCUCACGCUAUCAGGUCAAGGAAGGUCCCUCUUGUCCCUCAUUUGCUAGGAGAAUUUUCAAAAGUAAA